rnacentral:rRNA from 1 species
CUUCUCUUGAUUUAAAUAUGAGAUAUGACCUGCUCAAUGAAUAAUAUUUUUAAAUGGCCGCGGUAUAUUAACCGUGCAAAGGUAGCAUAAUCAUUAGUCUUUUAAUUGUAGGCUGGAAUGAAUGGUUGGACGAGAUAAUAACUUUCUUAGACUUAUUGAUUUGAAUUUAAUUAUUGUGUCAAAAAGCACAAAUUUUUUUAUGGGACGAGAAGACCCUAUAGAGUUUAAUAYUURAUUUAUUUUUUAAUAUUUGUUGUUUUGGAAAUUGAAUUAAAUAUUUUGUUGGGGUGAUGUGAAGAUAAAAUUAACUCUUUAUAUUAUUUGUUUAUUGAUUAAUAUACUUUUGAUCCAUUUUUAGUGAUUGAAAGACUAAAUUACC